AGUGAACGCUGGCGGUAGGCCUAACACAUGCAAGUCGAACGGCAGCACAGUAAGAGCUUGCUCUUACGGGUGGCGAGUGGCGGACGGGUGAGGAAUACAUCGGAAUCUACUUUUUCGUGGGGGAUAACGUAGGGAAACUUACGCUAAUACCGCAUACGACCUACGGGUGAAAGCAGGGGAUCUUCGGACCUUGCGCGAUUGAAUGAGCCGAUGUCGGAUUAGCUAGUUGGCGGGGUAAAGGCCCACCAAGGCGACGAUCCGUAGCUGGUCUGAGAGGAUGAUCAGCCACACUGGAACCGAGACACGGUCCAGACGCCUACGGGAGGCAGCAGUGGGGAAUAUUGGACAAUGGGCGCAAGCCUGAUCCAGCCAUACCGCGUGGGUGAAGAAGGCCUUCGGGUUGUAAAGCCCUUUUGUUGGGAAAGAAAAGCAGCAGGUUAAUACCCCGCUGUUCUGACGGUACCCAAAGAAUAAGCACCGGCUAACUUCGU
rnacentral:rRNA from 1 species